rnacentral:rRNA from 1 species
GAUGAACGCUGGCGGCGUGCUUAACACAUGCAAGUCGAACGAAGCGCUUGGAUGGAAUUCUUCGGAAGGAAGCUCAAGUGACUGAGUGGCGGACGGGUGAGUAACGCGUGGGUAACCUGCCUCAUACAGGGGGAUAACAGUUAGAAAUGACUGCUAAUACCGCAUAAGCACACGUGAUCGCAUGAUCGAGUGUGAAAAACUCCGGUGGUAUGAGAUGGACCCGCGUCUGAUUAGCUAGUUGGUGGGGUAAUGGCCCACCAAGGCGACGAUCAGUAGCCGGCCUGAGAGGGUGAACGGCCACAUUGGGACUGAGACACGGCCCAAACUCCUACGGGAGGCAGCAGUGGGGAAUAUUGCACAAUGGGGGAAACCCUGAUGCAGCGACGCCGCGUGAAGGAUGAAGUAUUUCGGUAUGUAAACUUCUAUCAGCAGGGAAGAAAAUGACGGUAC